rnacentral:rRNA from 1 species
UUACAACAGCCGUUGUUUCUUGGAUCUCCGCUCUACUUGGAUAACUGAGGUAAUUCUUGAGCUAAUACAUGCAGACGAGCUCUGACUUUACAGGAAGAGCGCAUUUAUUAGACCAAAAUCAAUCGGCGCAAGCCGUUUUUGGUGACUCUGAAUAACUACGCAGAUCGCUCAGGUUUUAUACCGGCGACAUGUCCUUCAAGUGUCUGCCUUAUCAACUUUCGAUGGUAGUUUCUAAGCCUACCAUGGUUGCGACGGGUAACGGAGAAUUAGGGU